UGUGCAUGCUACUUUCAUGUGGUACCUGUUGUCUGUACCUGCUUUAUCUAUCCAUCUGUUUGUAAUCUCAGUAAGUUCCUACACUGCAACUGCCUGUGUGUCUGCAUUUGGGUCCUCCACCCCAGUGCUGCUUCCUUCAGCCUUAACACUUAAUGCAAAUAGGAGGAGUUGGGGGACUUUUUUCAGCCCUGAGCAGUGUCUGCAGUGAUCCUCACAAACUGAAUAUAGAACCAACAACUUCUACCAAAAAGCUGGACACGUGAUGAGACGAUGAUCUACACAUAGAGCAGGAGGCCAGUCCUGAGCUGGUGGCAGAGCUGGAGUGGAGCUGGAGCUGGUGUGAUCCAAACGGGAAACAGGCAACGAGAAAGGAAGGAGCUGAGGAAAGUGGCAAUGAGGAAGGAGCUGGACUUGACCAGUAACUACGGCGGACUGAAGUCCUUCUUCUAGGAUUCCUUGAAGCCCAGUCUGAACCUGUGUAGUCGCCUGAGAUUGUCUGCACAAUCUUUCAUCCUAUUAGAGAGAGGACAGUUGCUGGUGUGGGUCCCAGGCACCCCCUGCUCCCUCCAGAUUCUGCCAUUCCACCUCUCCUUCCCACAAGAAAACAAGCACUGGUUGUAACAUUAGCUCAUGUUUGCUGGAUCAAAGAGUCCCUCCCUCCGUUUCCUCAACACCGUCAUCAGGAAGUAAAUCAUGGUUUGACACUAUUCAGUAUUGGUGACAUCGGGAAUAAGUUAUCAUCUCUUUGCUGUUUGCCUGGGCAGCAGAAAAACAAGGCAGCAAUUCAUGAUAAACAAGAAGAGAAGGAUGUCUUAAAUGGGUGUGGGUGACAGACACCUUACCCUGACCUGAACCUAUACCAUAACACAGGCUCUGCAUCAGGAAUAUCAAUGCAGAACCAGACACUGCCAUUCCAUCAUUGGUUAUGACAGAAAGAUAAGAGAUGGAUGUAAUGCUCCCACUGUGGCAGAGAGGGGACAAAAACACAUAGCUCAAUACAGUCCAGGAACAGACUUUUUUUGAAAUGAAAACUCAAUGGGUUGUUUACCGGGGUUGUUUAAAGACAGUGAUGCAAUCUUUUGCAGUGAUGCAUUUUUCCUUGUAAAUCUCGGUAUGGAUCCUUGAAAGAAUCCUUAAAAUAUCCCCUAUCUCUUAUUCUUCACACUGAUAUUCCUGUAAAUAAACAGGGAAUGCCUUAUAGAUGGUGUACAUUUUCAGGGUCUCUUCCAUUGUAUAACUGAUAGGAAUACGCAAAUAGCAAAUAAAGUCACAAGAAUUUUAAAACAGACCAACGAAGUGAAUUGCCUCAUUAGCUCUCCAUGACUCAGUCAGUAUAGUCUGUUCAGGACUGUCUUCCCAAAAAAUUACAGCAUCAAAUGAUCAGUGUGUUCAAAACCAAAUCACAAUCGUUGGUGACAUUUAACUGACAAACACCUCCAGUGGCUGUGUGGAUUAUUACUAUAGUCUGUUGGUAGCAAAGGUGGGAGUAGUGUAACACCAUAAUAGCUCUCUUACUCUCAGGGAUUAUGUCACGGUGUAAAAGUGGUUGACAAAGUGUGCAACUUUGUCUCAAGAGACUACUGUUCAUUUUCAAUUUUCCAAACAAAACUUUUGUUACUUUUAACCAUGAUGCCAAUCAUUCCCUAACCUUAACUAUAUAUGUAGUUGAAUCCUAUAGGUGCUAAAUACACUCAUGAGGACUCUAUUAUGAAAACCUGUACACCUGUUUAUUCAUGCAAUUAUCCAAGCAGUUGGAAGAGUGGAAAGGUGUCACGGUUUGGAUGGGUGCUAACACUUUGAGGGUCAUUAGAGUGACAAGUGAGUCAUUGACCCACCCUGCCAUCAUGUGAGUUGUUUAGGUCACCAGUCCCCAACCCCCGGGCCGGUCCGCGGGUCGUUUGGUAACGGGCCGCACAGAAAGAAUAAAUAACUUACAUUAUUUCCGUUUUAUUUAUUUUCCAAGUCUGAACAAUCUUUUAUUUUGAAAAAUGAUAAUCUAAAUGAUAAUUGAAAAUUCUCUACGUUACAUCCGUCUGUUCUUCACUCACUCUUGACGCAUGUCAAGAUGCUUGUCUCGAUCACGUGACGGAACGCUAAUAUUAAACCCACAAGCUAGCAAAAUGAGUGAAAAACAGACGUUGUUGGAAAGUUUCUUUACAAAGGGGAAAAGGCCCAGUAAGGAGACAGAAGAAGAGCCUAUGACCACUAAGAAGAAGAGAGCUGCAUUUAACAGACAAUACCAAGAGAAGUACGUAAAAUAUGGAUUUAUCACGAAAGGAGAUUCCCGCGUACCAAGCCAACUCUGCAUUAUAUGCGGCGCCUGUCUCUCCAACGAGGCAAUGAAGCCCUCAAAACUGCUUCGCCACUUGGAGACCAAGCACCCUGCAUUAAAAAACAAACCUUUGGAGUAUUUUGAAAGGAAAAAGCGGGAACAAAAAUGACAGAAGCAGUUACUGAGGGCUUCCACAUCAACAAAUGCAAGUGCACUGAGAGCGUCAUACUUGGUGGCUAACCGUAUUGCUAAGGCUAAAAAGACAUUCACUAUUGGUGAAGAACUGAUCCUUCCCACCACUAAAGACAUUUGCUGUGAACUUUUCGGAGAGGCUGCGGCUAAAAAGAUAGCACAGGUGCAUCUGUCGGCUAGCAGCGUCUCUCAGCGCAUUGAGGACAUAGCAGAGGACAUUGAGACCCAGCUGUUGGAGAGGAUUAAUACGUCACCGUGGUACGCACUGCAGGUUGACGAGUCUACAGAUGUGGACAACAAGGCAAUGCUACUUGUUUAUGUGCUAUCGAUACCUUUACCAGGAGAAUGUGCAUGAGGACAUGUUGUGUGCACUAUCGUUGACAACCAAAACCACAGCCGCAGAACUAUUCAAGUUGCUAAAUGAUUAUGUGUCAGGAAAACUUAAAUGGUCUUUUUGUGUCGGCAUCUGCACAGACGAAGCUGCUGCAACGACCGGACGGCUGUCUGGUUUAACGGCUUGGAUUAAGGAGGUUGCACCUGAAUGUGAAUCUACACAUUGUGUCAUUCACAGAGAAAUGCUAGCUAGCCGAAAAAUGCCACCGGAAUUUAACAGCGUAUUGAAUGAUGUUAAAGUUAUUAACCACAUCAAAGCACACGCCCUUAACUCGUGCCUAUAAGAGCAACUUUAUGAUGAGAUGAACGCGGAGCACAGAUGCCUUCUUACACACAGAGAUCAGAUGGUUAUCCCGAGGGAGAUCGCUGGCCAGAGUGUUUGAGUUACGAGAGCCGCUGCAGAGAUUUCUCUCAGAAAAGAAGUCACCACUAGCAGCACAUUUCAGUGACAAGGAGUGACUCGCAAAACUCGCUUACUUGUGCGACAUAUUCAGCCUGCUCAAUGAACUCAAUGUGUCCCUUCAGGGGAAAAUGACAACUGUCUUCAAGUUGGCAGAUAGAGUAGCUGCAUUUAAAGCCAAACUGGAUUUGUGGAGACGACGCGUGAACAGAGGCAUAUUUGACAUGUUUCAAACAUUGGCGGGGAUUUUGGAAGAAACUCAGCUGGAGCAGUCCUUCUCCCAGCUGCUGCAUGAUCACCUGGCUUUGCUUUUAAAAGGGUUUGAGCGCUACUUCUCAACCACAGAAGACCCACAAACUGACAAGGAAUGGAUCCGCGACCCAUUUGUCAAUAAACCAGGUGAAUCGAGCAUGUCUGUGCAAGAAGAAGAUCAGCUGCUGGGGAUCACACAUGACAGCCUUAAAAGUCUGUUCGAGACAUCAACUCUGCCGGUAUUCUGGAUGAAAGUCAUGGCAGAAUACCCUGAGAUUGCCACAACAGCACUGAAAACCCUGCUGCCAUUCCCAACAUCAUAACUAUGUGAAGCGGGCUUUUCUGCAGUCACAGCAACCAAAACAAAAUUACGGAGUAGACUGGACAUAAGCAACAAACUUCGGGUGUCAUUGUCGCCCAUUACCCCUAGAUGGGACCGUCUUGUUGCAGAGAAACAAGCUCAGGGCUCUCAUUGAUUUAGCGUUAUGUUGAGUUAUAUUUUUCGUAUACUUCAUAUUUGUUUUGUGGCGUAUCUUAUUUUGAAGGCAUGUUCAAGUGUUACCAUAGCGACCAGAGAGGAUGUUACUCUUGUUAUGUUGUUGGCGCAUGUCAGGAGGACGCUGCUAAUAAAGUUACAUACAAGUACACAGUGGAUUCACGUUUAUUAUUAUAUUUACAAAAUACCACAUGUUUUGUGUUGGUCGUAUCAUUUUAUUUUGUUGUAUUUAUCCGCCACACCUUGAAGGCCGGUCCGUGAAAACAAUGUUUACAUUAAACCGGUCCGUGGCUCAAAAAAAGUUGGGGACCCCUGGUUUAGGUCACAUGAGUCCCGGUGUGGAUGGGUGUUCAGCUGUUUUGGGAGUGAACUCACUGGUGUCACCAAUUGUGGCUAAUCUCUACAUGGAAGAGGUAGACAGCAGAGCCCUGACCUCUUUUCCAGCAGCUGCCCCCAGCCACUAGUUUAGGUAUGUGGAUGACACCUGCAUCAAAAUCGAAACCCAUGAAGUUGAAUCCUUCACUGAACACAUCAAUGCAGUGGACAGCAACAUCAAGUUCACUCGUGAGGAUGUCAGUGGAAAUAGCCUAGCCUUCUUGGAAUGUGUGUUGCACAUCGAGAGUGACAGAAGCCUCAACAAUGAAGUAUACCAGAAACCCACACACACAGAUCAAUACCUACUGUUUGACUCUCAUCACCCACUGGAGCACAAUCUGGGGGUCAUCAGAACCCUACAGCAUCGGGCUCAGAAUGUUCCAACAAGGUCAGAGAGGAAAGAGAAGGAACAUAAACGCAUCAAGGAAGCACUUAGAGCCUGUGGUUACCCCAACUGGGCCUUUGUCAGAACUACUAAAAAAUGCAGAACAGACAAAGAAGAAAACUGCACGAAACAAAACAUCAUUUUCAUUCCCUACAGUGCUGGAUUAUCUGAAAAACUCAGUAGAAUCUUCUACAAACAUAACAUCCCUGUGCAUUUCAAGCCCAGUAACACUCUGGGGUAAAAACCUGUCCACCCUAAGGACAAAAUACCCAGGUACAAGCAGAACAACGUAGUUUACGCAGUCCAAUACAACAAGGAAUGCACAGACCUGUACAUUGGGGAAACUAAACAACUGCUAGAUAAGUGCUUGGCACAACACAGGAGAGCCAGUU